rnacentral:rRNA from 1 species
AUGAAGAAAGAAUUUGGGGGUAUGGGGGUCCUGAACCUACAAGAUAUGAACUUGUGUCUGAUUGGUGCAUGGGUUAAGAGGUAUAUUGCAGGAGAGGGGUCCCUGUGGAAGAAAGUGGUAGAUGGUAAAUACAAUACUAGAAAUCUUAAUAUCCUGUGCUGUCAGGAUAACCAUCCAUCACAAUUCUGGAAGAGCUUCCAGUGGGCUUUACAGGCUGUGAAGUUUGGUUAUAAAUGGAAGAUAUGGAAUGCGAGGUCAGUUAGGUUCUGGGAAGACAUUUGGCAUGGAAAUGCUCCUCUGGCUACCCAAUUUUGGGAUCUGUAUUUCUUGGUUCAGGAAAAGAACAAAACUCUUGCUGAACUGUGGGAUGGGGUAGAGCUUAAGUGUACAUUUAGAAGGACCUUUUCAGAGGAUCUGAUGGAGCAAUGGUUAGAUCUUUAUAGUGUAGUUGAGAUGACUCAUUUAGGCGAGGAAGAGGAUAACUUGAUCUGGCAGUAUGAGUCGAAAGGGGUGUACUCUUCUAAGUCUCUAUAUGCUAUAGUAAAUUUUAGGGGGGGGGGUGCAAGCAGUGUUUCUACCUGCUGUUUGGAACAUCAAAGUGCCUCCAAAAAUUCAGGGGUUCUUGUGGCUGUUUUCACAUAA